rnacentral:lncRNA from 1 species
AUGAGUCUGAACAUGGCUUAUGGGGUUUUGAAGGAUCUGGCUCUAGUCUCAUCUUGACAUCCUUUUUCUCUUGCUUACUACGCUCUAGCCACUCCAGUGCUUUUCAUGCACUGGGGCUGUUGUGCAUGCUUUUAUCUUUGCCUGGAGUAGUUCCCUGGUAUCCAUCUCCUGUUUAUUUUCUGGUCCUCAGUGUAAAAGCCCCUUCUCCUUAUCUUCGCUGGUCUAAAAUCAGUUCCUCAGGAACGCUUGCUCAAGGCUUCCUCUUUUUAUCCUUUACUUACUUAUAAUCUGUAGUUAAAAGUUGCAAUUGUAUUUGUGUUUUAUAUUCUGAAAUACAACUUACCUAUUUUUCUUUUGAUUUUACCUUUAGGAGCUAUUUCAUUGCAUAAGUGUACAUAUGUAAAUUCUGUGCUAUAAACAUUGUUAAUGGUCGUUUUACUUUUGUUUUGUAAAGAAUAUCCUGUUUGAACCUUAUGUCCUUGAAAGAAAAUGAAGAUUUUUACUACUACCUUAACCAAUACAGAUAUAGUGAUAAUAGCUUGAGCUAGUGAGUGGAUGAAAUUAGAAUAGAUGUGCUUUGGCAUUCAGGCUCUGCUGUUUCCGAGCAUGAGCUGCUCCUUACUGAGCAGUGCCGGCAUUGUUUUGUUGUUUACUUUAUUGAAAUCUUACCGCCCCUAAACUAGCAUCAACAUGUAGUACUAUUUAUUUACAACAUACAAGUUAAGGAAAUGAAGUCUCUUUAUGGUUAUUUCCUCUAGCAGAAGAUAAUAGCACAACCUGCUUCAGUAUUUACGCUUUUUAAAAUAAAACACAAUUUCACCUUUUCCUCAUCAGCCCAUCAGAAGUUUCUCUGGCUGCCUUUCUUCCUCUCCUUCUCUUUCUUUCUCAUUACCUUUCCUUUUCUCCCCGUACUCCAAUAGAUAUCAGCUGUACAUUUGGUGAUUAAGCUUUGUGAUAUUUGAAAGAAGAUAGCCAAAAACCAGAAAUAAAAGUCAAGGGCUAGGCAUGGUGACUGUCCUGUAAUCUCAGCACUUUGGGAGGCUGAGGUGGCAGAAUCACUUAAGCACUGGAGUUUAAGACCACCCUAGGUAACAUAGCGAAACCCUUUCUCUACAACAAAAUUAAAAUGAAAUUACCUGGGCAUAGUGGUGCAUGCCUGCAGUCUUUGAUACUUGGGAGGUGAGGUGGGAGGAUUGCUUGAGCCCAAGAGUCCGAGGCUGCAGUGAGCUAUGAUCAUGCUGCUGCACUCCAGCCUGGGCAACAGAGUGAGACACAGUCUAAAAAAAAAACAGUCCAGGAUUUUAUUUUUUAUUGGUACUUAUCAGUUUUAGGAAAGAUGUAAGGGAAUAGUUGUCUCUAUGUUCUUUCUAAAAGUCUUAAUUUACAGACUCCAGGUGCCUCCAGUGACUGAAGUGUAAAAUAUUAAAAGAUCAUAGCCAAUGCAAAAAUAGGAAUGUCAGAAUCAAAUAUCCUGAGAAGAAGCUAUCAGUAGUGUCUAGAGUCUUAGAUAGUAUUCUCUUAACUGAUAAAGACCUGAAAAUAUCUUCUAUCAAGGCAGGAGUGAAGCAUUCUAUUCUUGGUUUCUGUGUUUUUCUUCCCCACACCACACAUCCCUCCUUCUCCCUCCCCCUCCCCCUCCCCCUCCCUCAUAACAUAAAAGCAGGCAGGAUUCUGAGGCAGGGAAGGAUUUGAGUCUAUGUCAGGAAAAGUGUAGCCGUGGUUUUAUUUUAGGACCCUACUCUUUUGUCUUCCCUGUGGUUGGCUCUUUUCCCUGCUAUGCUGAUUAUUUUAGCAGGUAGAAAAAAGUGGCUGCUGCUAGAAAGUUUCCUUAAGAAAUGUGAAUAUUUUAGGCUAUUUGAGCAUAAACGUAGCUAAUUCAGACACACUGGGAACAAACCAGAAGGAGACUUGGUUCUUUUCCAUUCUUUCUGCAGGGUACAUUAACAUCCCAUAGAAAGUAGAGAUAUGCUUCUUGUAUUGUGUGUGUUUUUAAGUUAUGUUACCUUAUAGAUAUGAACUGGCUCAAAUAAAUAUCUACUAGGUUAUUUUCUUAUUUAUUUACAUGUUAUGUGUGUGUGUAUGCAUGUGUGUGUAUCACAUCUAAAGUCCAAAAGUUUAUACCGGUUGAUCAUAUAUUAUUUAAUAUUUUGGUUUUCAGAAAUUCAUAAUCUCAACACACCUAAAAUUUAUAGACAAUAGGGCAAGAAUACACAUUUCUAGACUGUGCAAGUGGGAAGUUUACUUUAAAAAUAGAUAUGAAAUACUGUUUCUGUAUUAAAUAUAUGAAUAUUACAUGUUAGGAGCAGGAGGCUUUAUGAACAAAUGUUGAUGCCUAAGUAAUAUGCUUGUGAGAAUCCUGGUAUGGUUAGGCUUUGUGUCCUCACCCAGAUCUCAUCUUGAAUGUAAUCUCCAUAAUCCCCAUAAUCUCCACGUGUCAAAGGAGAGAUCAGGUGGAGGUAAUUGAAUCAUGGGGGCAUUUCCCCCAUGUUUUCUCAUGAUAGUGAGUGAGUUCUCACAAGAUCUGAUGGUUUUAUAAGGGGCUUGUCCUCCUUCGCUCGGGACUUCUCUUUCCUGCCACCUUGUGAAGAAGGUGCCUUGCUUCCUCUUUGCCUUCUGCCAUGAUUGUAAGUUUCCUGAGGCCUCCCCAGCUAUGUGGAACUGUGAGUCAGUUAAGCCUUUUUCCUUUAUAAAUUACCUAGCCUUGGGCAGUUCUUUAUAGCAGUAUGAAAAUGGACUAAUACAGAUCCUAUAUUAAAAAUAAGUCUGGGUCAGGCACAGUGGCUCAUGCUUGUAAUUUUCGUACUUUGGGAGGCCAAGACAGGAAGAAUGCUUGAGGUCAGGAGUUCAAGAGCAGCCUGGGCAACAUAGUGAGACCCCCAUCUUUAUUUAAAAAAUGAAAAUAAAAAUAGCCAGGCAUGAUGGCUCUCACCUGAAGUCCCAGCUACUCAGGAGGCUGAGGCAGGAAGACUGCCUGAGCCCAGGCAACCUGGAGGCUGCAGUGAGGCCAGGAGGUUUCAGUGAGCCAUGGUCAUGCCACUGUACUCCAGCCUUGGUGACAGAGUGAAACGCUGUCUCAGAUAAUAAUAAUAAUGUCUGGCACACCAUAUAUGCUAAAUUAACUAAUUUAACAAAAGUUUGAGUACCUACUGGAUACCCAACCUUCCUGAACCCUGGGAAUGAAGCAGUGAAGAAAACAGAUAAGACACCAACCCUCACAGCCCUAUACUUUGGUGAGGAAGACCAACAAUACAAAGUACAUUUCUAGGUAGCAACAAGUACUAUGAAGAAAAAGGCAACCAGCUAGAAAGAUUCAGUGUUAUGUUGUAAAGUGGCUGUCUAUUAGUGUGUGGUCAAGAUAAGCGUUCUGAAAAGGUGAUAUUUAAGCAGAGACCUGAAUGAAGUGACGUGCAAUAUCAUAUUCUGAGAAUAAGCAAACAGUGAGGAGAAAAGCAAUUGUGAAGUCCCUGCAGGGGCAGUGGGGUUGGUGUGUUUAAAGGAAGGCCAGGGAGAUGUAGAUUGGUAAGUGAGGGAGAAUUUCAGGAGACUCCAGAGAGUUUGGCAGUUGUCAGAUCAUAUAAAACCUUGUAGGCCCUUGUAAGGAGAUUCAGUUUUCUUCUGUUUUAUUCAGUUUAUUCUGUGUUUGAUGGGGAGCUGUUUUAACAGCUUUUAAAAGGUUUGGAUCAGGGAAAUGGUAUGACAUUACUGAAAAGAUCAUUUUUUCUGUUCUAGAAGGAAGAGAGAUGUUGAGCAGAUGUAGAACUGGUGGGCAGAUUUAAGAUAUUUGUAUUGC